UCAGCCCUAAACACAAAUAAUUUUAAAAACAAAAUUAUUCGCCAGAGUACUACCGGCAACAGCCUAAAACUCAAAGGACUUGGCGGUGCUUUAUACCCUUCUAGAGGAGCCUGUUCUAUAAUCGAUAAACCCCGAUAGACCUCACCAAUUCUUGCUAAUACAGUCUAUAUACCGCCAUCUUCAGCAAACCCUAAAAAGGAACAAAAGUAAGCGCAAUCAUAACACAUAAAAACGUUAGGUCAAGGUGUAACCUAUGAAAUGGGAAGAAAUGGGCUACAUUUUCUACUUCAAGAAAACCCACAUAC
rnacentral:rRNA from 1 species